CAGGAGCGCCAUCAGGGAUGAUGGCGCAGCCGCAGCGGGGCAGGGAUGCCCCAUCUGCGGCGGUCCGUCCGACCUUGUGACC
rfam:Aeromonas diversa 2478-85 Contig 4, whole genome shotgun sequence.